AGUGAACGCUGGCGGUAGGCCUAACACAUGCAAGUCGAACGGCAGCACAGUAAGAGCUUGCUCUUACGGGUGGCGAGUGGCGGACGGGUGAGGAAUACAUCGGAAUCUACUUUUUCGUGGGGGAUAACGUAGGGAAACUUACGCUAAUACCGCAUACGACCUACGGGUGAAAGCAGGGGAACUUCGGACCUUGCGCGAUUGAAUGAGCCGAUGUCGGAUUAGCUAGUUGGCGGGGUAAAGGCCCACCAAGGCGACGAUCCGUAGCUGGUCUGAGAGGAUGAUCGGCCACACUGGAACUGAGACACGGUCCAGACGCCUACGGGAGGCAGCAGUGGGGAAUAUUGGACAAUGGGCGCAAGCCUGAUCCAGCCAUACCGCGUGGGUGAAGAAGGCCUUCGGGUUGUAAAGCCCUUUUGUUGGGAAAGAAAAGCAGCAGGUUAAUACCCCGCUGUUCUGACGGUACCCAAAGAAUAAGCACCGGCUAACUUCGUG
rnacentral:rRNA from 1 species